GGUCUCAAUUAUAUCAAUGUAUGGAUAUUUCUCGAAUUAAUAAAGUAAUUGUUUUCUAUGCGCUUCAUGAGUACUCUGAUAUUUGACUAGUCCGGUCUAACUCAUCGUUAGGUCGUAGUACGGGUUGAAAAGCCUUAGGCCUCGAUCUAACGGAAAACGCUAACUCUUGGCAGGGUUGCAAAGCCUUGUGCCUUGAUUUAGCAGGACGAGUUAGUGGAUGAACUGGUCUAGGUCGUGGAGUAAAUUUUAUGACUCUGACCGGAACGUCCCUAGCCCGUCACGUAAUGCUUCCGGACCAUGGUGUUGGGUUGGACGGUCAGUCAUGUUCUUGUUUGAUUGUAGGUUGGCCGGUUGGCUCAUUCAUCUCCAACCCUGGGUGUUGGACGGUCGAUCAGUCGUGUUCUUGUUUGAUUGUUGGCCGGUUGAUCGACCUAUGCUUAGGACGGUUCGGGGGUGUUACAGUCGGGGGCAUUCAUAUUUCAUAGUCAGAGGUGAAAUUCUUGGAUUUAUGAAAGACAAACAACUGCGAAAGCAUUUGCCAAGGAUGUUUUCAUUAAUCAAGAACGAAAGUUGGGGGCUCGAAGACGAUCAUAUACCGUCCUAGUCUCAACCAUAAACGAUGCCGACCAGGGAUCAGCGGAUGAUGCUUUUAGGACUCCGCUGGCACCUUAUGAGAAAUCAAAGUUUUUGGGU
rnacentral:ncRNA from 2 species